rnacentral:rRNA from 1 species
CACGUAGGGGGCGAGCGUUGUCCGGAUUUAUUGGGCGUAAAGAGCUCGUAGGCGGCUCAGUAAGUCGGGUGUGAAAACUCCAGGCUCAACCUGGAGACGCCACCUGAUACUGCUGUGGCUAGAGUCCGGUAGGGGAGCAUGGAAUUCCUGGUGUAGCGGUGAAAUGCGCAGAUAUCGGGAGGAACACCAAUGGCGAAGGCAGCUCGCUGGGACGUGACUGACGCUGAGACGCGAAAGCGUGGGGAGCAAACAGG